ensembl:lncRNA
AGCCUACGCAAUUUGGAGAGACUCUAAGAAGACCAAAGCAUCUUACUUCUGUAAAUGGCCCAACACACGCCAGCUGGGUGGACCCCCUGGUGAACUCCCUCUCGGAUUCUCGGGGGGCUCUGCGAGCCUACGCUCCCUUGGCUUCCGGGAAAAUCAGCCUGUGCUCAGAGGGGCGAGCUGACCCUCCCCGGGUCCCCCAGCUCAUGUGGAAGAGAUCUGACCCGAGUUCCCGGGGAAACCGCCCUCUCCAUGCCCUCCCCCGCAGCCACUCUCUCAGCCUUGCCUCAUUCUCCAGGUGAACUGGGCCAGUGAGGCGGGCCUCCAUCUGGCUCUGGGGUGGGGCAGUCAGAAACCCAGGCUUGGACCUUCAGAAUCACCUUGGGAGCUUGUCAAGAAUCCAUGGUCCUGGGCCUGCCCCCGCAGAUACAGCGUUAGUGGGUCUGAGCCAGGGCCUGGAAAUCUGUAUUUUCAGUGGGGCCCCCCAGUGAGGCUGCUCAGCCACUCCCUUUGGGGACAUGCUGCUUCUGGGACACCCCCUUCUGCCCUGUCGCCUGGCUGUGUCUGGCUCCCUGCCAGGCUGGGCCUGGCACCACGGCUGAGCAGGCCUCAUUUCUCAGGUAUGCAAUUAGCAGCCCCAAGAACAAUACGCUGUUUUAAUCAUUACAGCUCCCAGCCCGUCUGGUAAUUUGCUGCCUCUUUUACUGCAAUAACAAGCUCUGGCUUGGGAACAGGGGCGGAGCGCCGGGCUUUCAUCCCAGCCUUCCCACACGCCUGCAGUGGGGCCUGCGGGAGAGCCGGAGACACACCUCACACGUGGACAACCCGGGAAGGCUUCCCGGGGGAAGUGGCUGUGGGCUGUCCAUCAGCAGGACCCAGAAAGGGGCUGGAAUUUGGCCCAGUGCUGGGGAGAUAGUGGUAGACACGUGGUGAACACCAUUCACGCCCUCGUGGGGCCCACCCUCUUAUUAGAGAUCGCAGAGUAGAGAAGCCGCUGCACCCAGCAGGUCACAUGUGGCUGUGGUCGAAAGGGGGCCCCAUCUCGGCUGCGGUGGGGGCAGGGUUCAGGGCAGGCUUCCUGGGAGGAGGUGGUGUCCCUGCUGAGCCGUGGAGGGCAAGUAGGGCUGGGCCAGGCAAAGGGGGGCGUGGAUUGGGAUGGUGGAUGAGUUUUCUAGUCCCAAGGAAGUGCGUGUGCAGAGACCAGUGAGGCGUAAGUGGGACCCCAUCAUCCAGGCUGAGGGCUGGAACCCCAUCCGAAGGGGCCUGUGUCGCGGGUUUUUUUCUUUUUUCCGAAGACGGCUAUAGCAUGCUCUCCAAUCUCGCUUGCUCUUCUUUCAACGUGAUUUGACAUUCCUCCCCUCCAGUGCUGGGGUCUCUGUCCGCUUCCUUGGGCCCGGGAGGGGCUUCCUAGGUACACGGUGGAGCUUUGUGGAUGACACUCUGUGAUCUCCAAAGUCAGUUCAUAAAAAUGCUUUGCCACCUUGCUCUCUCAGGAUAUUUGUUCUUUGAACCCGCCUGCCAUGCUGGGAGGAAGCCCAAACUCAUCUGCUUGGAGAGACCCUGGGUAAGUGGUCCAGCCAACAGCCCUGCUGAGGUCCUGCUGAUGGCCCGCAUCAGCAACCAGGCAUGUGAGCGAAGACCUCUCCAGAUGGUUCCAGCCCCACCCACAGAGGCACUCAGCAUUGAGUUUUCCCAGCUGAGGCCCCAAACAUCACAGAGCGGGGUCAGGGCAUCCCCGAUGGGCUCUGUCCACUCUUGACCAACAAGACUCUGAGCGUAAUAAGGUGGCGGUUGUAUGCGGCUAAGUUUCGGGUAGUUUGGUGAAGACGGUGGAGGGAUGUUCUCUGGAGAGUGGGUGGGGAGGGCUGAGGCCGGAGACGGGGUCUGCUAGUGAAAUACAUAAAACUUCUAACUCCAGCAUUGGGACCGUGUUUGCCCAGCCCCCAGCAGUGUGGGAACCCCAGGUACACGGUGCCAUCCAGCCUCCGCCCGCACGCGGCCUCACCAGGCUGCCCUCCCCUUGGUCUCAGCUCUGGGUGUCACCGUGUUCUUUCUCAGGUCCAGUCAGCAUCUGUGUCCCUGCAGCAUCCUGGUGUUGGCAUCGCUCUGUCCUCAGAAUUCCCACGCACUCCUUCUCUCCUAUUCUGUCCUUUGAGGACUUGCCGAAGGUGACAGUCUAUUCUUCCACAGAAACAGCAGCUGUGGUUGCGUCAACUGCUCCUCGUAUGGUUUGAGUUGAAGACACGGGUUCAGGAGGAAGCUUCGCCAUGUCCAGCUGAGUGGCUUGGGCUCACCUACCCAAGUCUCUGCAGAGUUCUCUUCGGAGACAGGGAUAACAACAGUGCCUGCCUGCCUCCUCUCAGUACUGAGGGUGACAUGAGUCGACAAGGUAUUUAGCGCAGGGCAGGGGCUCCCUGGUGGCUCAGAUGGUAAAGAAUCCGCCUGUAAUGCAGAAGACCUGGGUUUGAUCCCUGGGUCGGGAAGAUCUCUUGGAGAAGGGAAUGGCGCCCCACUUUAGUAUUCUUGCCUGGAGAAUCCUGUGGACAGAGCAGCCCGGGGGGCUGCAGUCCAUGGGGUCACAAAGAGUCGGACACGACUGAGUGACUAACAUUUUAACAGGGGCUCAGUCAAUGUCAGCUCACACAAUGGGACCUAACCCUUGUCUCGCUGCCUCUUGUGGCUGUUGUCAAAAACAGUUGAGCUGGGACUUCCUGGUGGACUCCACACUCCCAGUGCAGGGGCCCGGGUUCGAUCUCUGGUCGAGGAACAAGAUCCCACAUGCUGCAACUACAGAUCCCUCAGGCUGCAACGAAGAUCAAAGGUCCUAUUUGCUUCAAGAUGUGGUGCAACCCCCCAAUGCAUUUUUUAAACAAAAAAAAAAAUUGAGCCAAAGAGCAGGAAAGGAUUUUAUGCACUGCGAAUUGCCAGGGUAGGAGAGGAGCUUGGCUGUCACUCUUUAUGAUCAUCUUGAAACAACUCAGUAUUGACCUAACCUGCUCUGGGGACCAGGAAGGGGUUAUGGGGACACUGGGAGGGCAUUGUCCUCCAGAGUCAAAGGUGGCUCUGUUCACAGCUGUCACCCUCUCUCCCCCAGCCUGGCUUCUGGCCCAGCCGCCCACAGAGAUAAAGUCUCUGCCUGUACCGUCCCACGCCCACCAUUUCCUUGUCAGGGUGAGGUCAUGGUCAGGGACAGGGACUUUCUGAAACAGCUGAGGGUGCUGAGGGGCUGGGCCUUGGUGGGAGUGGGGUUCACAAAUCCCUAGCCUCCCCUUUGGACACUGAGACCCUGCGGCUGCCACCUCGCCGUGUCCAGGGUUCCCUGGAUGGUGUGCAGGAGAGGUGCAGGGCUCAUGCUGACUCAGGUGGCCGUGGGCUGCCAGGGUGGCGGGGACAGUGGGAAUCCUGGGGCCCCCACGGGGCAAGGAAGGGGGCCUGGAGGCCGAGGGGCCUCGCCCUUCCCCCACCUCCAGGACAGACUGUCCGGUUGGACCUGACUCACACAGUGCACUUCCAUGUAAGAGUUUGAAAAAAAGUUAAAAAAAAAAAAAAAAUGAAGUCAAGAUUUUAAAUCAUUUACUGUAGUCCACUGAGCCUAUAAAGGGGAAUGGAUGGCCCAGGUCACAUGACCAGGCAGCGGCAGAAAUGGAACCAGAGCCUGAGGGAAUAGAGACUUGCUCUCUGCUUCUCCAAGCAUCCAUCUCCCCUUUCCCAUUUCUCUUACCAGAGCAGGGACCAAGGACUGGAGCCCGUGAUUCAAACUAAGCCAAUUGGUGCGUUCUGUUUCUCUGGCCACAGGGAUUGGCUCAGAGGUGAACAUGUGACCAAAGCAGGACCAAUCAGAGUGAAUCCCAGGACUUGGAGCUGGGAAUGCUGGGAGUGACAGGCUUUCUCCUUUCUACUCCAAGUGAUGGAGGUGAGCCCCCUUGGGCCAGGGCCGGGCCAGCCGGUGAGAGGGACCAGCCCUGCAAGAGGUUGAGAGAAGGUGCAGAGCACUUGUAUCCAGCCUCACUUGCUGCCAGAGAUUUUGACCUCUUCAUUGAUGUGAUGCUUUUGAACUGAGGUGUUGUAAAGACUCUUGAGAGUCCCUUGGACUGCAAGGAGAUCCAACCAGUCCGUCCUAAAGGAGAUCAGUCCGGAGUUUUCACUGGAAGGACUGAUGCUGAAGCUGAAACUCCAAUACUUUGGCCAUCUGAUGCGAAGAGCUGACUUGUUUGAAAAGACCCUGAUGCUGGGAAAGAUUGAGGGCAAGAGGAGAAGGGGAUGACAGAGGAUGAGAUGGUUGGAUGGCAUCGCCCACUCAAUGGACAUGAGUUUGAGCCAGCUCUGGGAGUUGGUGAUGGACAGAGAAGCCUGGCGUGCUGCAAAGAGUCAGACAUGACUGAGCGACUGAACUGAACUGAACUGAAGUUUAAAUCAGAGGCCAAGUUCAGCUACACAGCGCUCUAACUGAAAGGAUCUUCCUGUGCAGCUAUCUCUUGUUCCCAGGCCUGGGAGACUGCCAUGGCCAACAGGGCACUUGCGAGGUCACGGCCCUUUGACCUCUGCGCCUCUUCUCCAGGUUGCUCUCAUCCCCCACCCUCUGAAGCUCGCUGUAGAACCCAGACAGGCACCCAGGGGCUCCUCGCUUGUCCCUUGAAACCAGCGGGGCUGCCUUUCUCACUGGGGCCAUCCCGCCACAGCCCACCCACCAUCCACAAGCCCCAGGCGCUUCUGACCCUGAAUCAUCCACCUUCAGAGGCCUCCGCACCUGAGCUAUCAGGAAGACGCCUUCCCAGCCGAAUUCCCCUCUCACCCUCUGGCUGGGAGUGGCACGAGGAAAGCUUAGAGGGGGCUGCCUCCUAGCUGGUCAUGAGCCAGCUGUGUCCCAGGCGUCUGGAGGCCGCCCAGGGGCUCUUCUCCAGGUAAGGGCAGCGGCAACAGUUUAGCACACACUUACUGGUUCCAGUGCCGUGGCCGUCUCUUUCAGGGCAGUCUUUCGCUUCAUCUUCACCGCUUCCUGGGGGGGCCAGGAGUGUGGACGUGGCGUUCAGCGUAGGGCCGCUGGAGCCAGGCGGUCCAGGUUUGAAUCCUAGCAUUUCUACACACUCGCUAUGUGACCUUGGAAAAGUUACUUAACCUCCCUGUACCCCAGCUCUUCUCCUAUAAAAUGGGGAUGCUGCCUGCUAGACUCUUGAAUGAGAAGUUAAUACACAUAAUGGUCUUAGAACAACAAUGCCUGGCUCAUGGUGUGCUAUAUGAUGUUAGCUAUUAUUAUUAUUCCAUUUUAUAGAUGGCAAAACUGAGGCUCAAAGAGGUGCCUCAGAGCACACAGCUGAGUAAGCCAGGUCUGUGUCAUUCCAGAAUCAAUGACCCAUUUUAUUGCCCCUUGAAGUAACCCCAUAAGUGUGUAACUUGAAUGGUUUUCUGCCACUGGGACCAGCCAGGGCCCUGAGGCUCAACAGCGGGCAAGUGUAUAAGGAACCUAGCCGGGUCCUUUACUCCAGCCACAUAGGUUUAGAGGAGACCCUAGAGCUUAUCUAUAUCUAAGCUGUCCACCAUGGUAGCCACUAACCAUGGGGCUGUUGAGCCCUGGAUAUAGCUGGGCUAAGUGGAGAUCUGCGGUGAGGGUGAAAUACACAAAGGCAUAGCUUCCAAAGGCUGAGCACAAAGAAUGUGAAAUCUCCUUAUUGCCUUUUCUGGCCUCACCUUGCAGCAUGCUGGCUCUUAGUUUCCCGACCAGGCAUGGAACCUGAGCGCCCUGCGGUAGAAGCUCAGAGUCCUAAUCACUGAACCACCAGCGAAUUCCCCCCUUAAUACUUUUUUAUAUUGAAUACAGCUUGAAGAUGUUUUGGGUAUGUUAGGUUAAAUAACAUUAUUGAAACUAGUUUCACUUAUUCAUUUUCACUUUUUUAUGUGGCUGCUACAACACUUAUGACUCCCAUUGUAUUUCCAUUGGACUCUGCUGAUCCAGGCCAUUAUUCCAUUUUACAGAUGAGGAAAGUGAGGCUCACGGGUGUGAUUUGCUUUCGGGUUUUUGUUGGCUGAGCUGGGCCUCCUAAAUCCCACUCCAGGGUUCUUCCCGGGAACGCCUGUUGCUUCAGGAGGUAAGAGGUGAGCUGGGCUGCCCAAGGAGACUUGCCACCGUGGCUCUGCUCUGUCUCCCACGAUCAGUGCCCUUUCCCGCCCGCACCUCCUCCCACACACUCACAGCCUGCCACAGCCCUCUGCCCAAACCACGAGGUUGAAGAAUCACCCAAUGCAGGGAUUUCCGAGACCCCAUCAUUCACCUCGUCUGCCUGCAGAAAACAGCGGCCGAGCUGCUCUAGAUGGAAAACCAGCCUCUGCUUUGCAGGCCCACCAGGGGGCUUCGCUGGCGGCUCACGGGUAAGGAAUCCGCCUGCCAGUGUAGGAGACACGGGCUCGGUCCGUGGUCCGGGAGGAUCCUGCAGGCCAUGGACCAACCAAGCCCUUGAGCCACAACUAUUGAGCCUGUGCUCUAGAGCCCCGGGACUGUAUCUACUGAGCACAUAAACCGCAGCUACUGAAGCCCAUGAGCCCUGGAGCCCACGUUCCCCAGCAAGAGACGCUAUUGCCAUGAGAAGCCCCUGCUCACCGCAACUGGAGAAAAGACCAUGCAGCCAAAAACCCAGCAGAACCCCAAAAUAAAUAAAUUAAUUUAAAAAAGGACCUCCUACGUACUCACAGGAUUCUCUCUCAAAUAGUUGUGAGCAGGACUGAGGAGACAGUGGGCUGAGAUGCAGGAUCACCCAGCGGCAGGAAGAGCAGCACAGCAAAACUCGCUCUCAGCUUUCUGCCAGGUGAGUUUAAUAGCCUUUAUUGUUUCGACUGAGAGGUCCAUUAAUCUCCCAAGUGUUACCUGACAGUAAUUAACAAUCGGCAGCAGCGAAGUAGCAGUAAGCGUGCAGAACAACAGAGGGUUUUGGCUCGAUGGAUCACGUGGUCUGCUUGCGUUCUCUGUCCACGUGCCGUUGAAAAAGGAGCCACGGACACGUCAUCUUUCCUUUUACGGCUUCAUUCAUGAUUUUCACCUUCAAGGAUGGGUUAAAAAAAAUAAAGAAAUUUUAAAAACGACUUCCGGGAUGCAGGCUGUAUCGUCACGCCUCUCGCUCUGCUCCCUGUGGACUCCAGCACUCUCUCGUGGAAGUCUUCCUGGUGUGUGACCUUCAUCCCUCAGCCUGCCGUGUAGCCUCCUUCCCCUGGGGCUGGCCUCCGGGAUCAGCUGGGAGGUGGGGGUUGUGGAAAACCAGCCUGGAACAUCUGAACGGGAUGAGCUCCUGGUGGAGGGCGACGGCGGCUUCUUGCCCCCGCUCUUGCUCUGAGUGUCCUGGAGGAGUACCCCAUGCGCUCAGUCCUCCCAGGAAGAAAGGAAGCCACUUUCCAGCAGCAGCCAGGAGACAACAGUGUGAGGCAAUGACUUUUGAACGUUUCGAUUAAACUCACUGUGAGAAAUGUAUUUUCAUCCCCAUUUUCCAACAACACGCACACAUACCCACCUGAAGCCACAGCUUUAUGACAGCAGCCUUCCAUGACGGUGUGAACUGCUUUUUGUUUUUUUUUUUAAGCUCUCUUCCACCUUAUUCUAUUAAAAAGUUGUGCUCAGGAUCCACUGCACUGAUUUCACACCCCACGAGUGGGUGACAGCCUGCAGACUGAACAACGUGGAUGUAAGUGAGCAGGAACGCAGGCUCUGGGGACAGGCUUGCCUGUGCCUUGCUGCUAUUAGUAAAGCAAGCGCAAAGCUCCCGAGUUCGCAGGGCUGCCGUGAAGGCUGGAAAUACAGCGGGGAAGGCACGUGGCGUUCGGCAACGGCACAGGGAGCAGGGCCCGGUGGCUCUUGCUGCACGGAUGUGCCCAUUAUGGGGUUAGGGAAGGCGGGCUGUCGCCUCUGGGCUGUGAUUCGGGGGCACCCUGCCUGAGUGUGUCUCUCCACCCAGCAGGAUCUCACUGAAUCGCGUUAGAGAGUCGUUCCUUUACACUGAGCGUCGCCCUGCCCAGCUUGGGUGCCUUUCUGUGUAAAUUUACCCGGCUGCAGGUUGUGACCUGGGUCCCCAGUACUUUGGACAAAUGAGUUUGCCAUACUCUCCCAGCCCUGAAGGAUAAGAGGGAAGGAAAACCGGGGCAGAGAACGUGUCUGGGAUGUGGUGGGAGGGACUUCACUGGCGGUCCAGUGGUUACGAGUCUGCCUUCCAAUGCGGGGGAUGGGGGUUCAGUUCCUGGAAGGGACGUAAGAUCCCACGGGCUGCAAUUAAGACCCAGCACGGCCAAAUAAACAAACAUAUUUUAAAAGAAGAAGUUGAUGGGAGACCUGGAAGGUCUUUCCAGACACCUGGACUUAGAGCCUAGCCUGUGCCCACCCCGCCGCACCCCACCCCACCCUGCCCACCAGCCCCCGUCUCCCUUAAACAAGAGACACUCUGUGGUGUGGGUCUGGCCUCCCCAGCCACAGGCUGAGUUGUGGGGUCAGUCCCUUCACUUCCCGGAGCCCCAGGUUCCCCUCGGUCAUGCUGUGGUGAGAUUUCAAUGAAACGGUGCCUGUGAAGUAGCUCACACCACUGCUGGCGCACAGUAGGACCCCACGCGUCUUCGUUUCCUCUUUCCAACUCAUCUUCCCUCCCGACAUACUCCCUAAAAACCAGCUCUUGGGAACAGAUCUGCCUUGCGAGGAGUGGGCUCCCCAUCACUGGAAGAAUCUCCCUAAAAAAGGCUCGAGAACGAACAGCCAUGGUAGGAGAGAUUGAGACUGUUCUGAUUUGGGGCACUGAAUAGGUGCUUCCUACGUGUCUGUGGAAUAAAUAACUGUGACUCCUGUAUUGGGAAGGUUUUUCUAGAACACUGCUGAAACCUGGCUACACAUUAGAAUCCCUGGGGAAUUUCAAACACAUGGAUGCCUGGAUCUCAGUGCCAUGAAUUCUGACUUAACUGUUCUGAAAUGCAGUAUGGGCAUUAAUAUUUUUAAAAGUUUUCCAGGUGAUUCCAUGCGCAGCGCCUGCAUUUGAGAACUGGAACACCAAGUUUCCUUCUAGGUCCAAGAUGAUAAGUACGUGUUAUAAAGUCAUUUACACGCUAGUAUAAAUUUCAGUCAGAGGUAUUUCGUGCACUGUGUGAUAUAUGAUUUGUGGCUGAAUAAGCGGUUUUAAAAAUGUCAUCUCAGAGUUCAGCCACGUUUCCUUUAUAAGCAGCAGAAAGUGUUCGGGUGAGUCAGUGAAGCCUUUCUGCUGAGGGUGAAUGAUCCAGCAGCAUCCGUGGAAGCGGGGCAGGUGGGUUGAGUAAGCCCAGCCCGGGUGCAGAAACUUCUGGGGCUUCAGAAUUAAAACAGGAGCGGAAGCGGGGCAAGUGGGUUCACUAAGCCCAGCCCAGGUGCAGAAACUUCUGGGGCUUCAGAAUUAAAACAGGAGCGGAAGCGGGGCAAGUGGGUUCACUAAGCCCAGCCCGGGUGCAGAAACUUCUGGGGCUUCAGAAUUAAAACAGGAACGUCCAUUGGAUGGGAGAGGCCUAGCCCCGGACUCAGGGGGUUCCAGUCUGAUGAGGGAGGCACAGCCCGUGCUCCCAGGAGGAUCCUAGUCUAGAGAGAGCCCUCGCCACUCUCAGCCUCAGCCAGGGUUUCAGAGAGCGCCCUCUCUGCUCUCAGCUUCACCCAGGGUUUCAGAGAGAGCCCUCGCCGCUCUCAGCCUCAGCCAGGGUUUCAGAGAGAGCCCUUGCCGCUCUCAGCCUCAGCCAGGGUUUCAGAGAGAGCCCUCGCCGCUCUCAGCUUCACCCAGGGUUUUCCAAUUUACAGCAUGCUUUUCUCAUCCUCAGCAAGUGAUUGGUCUAAUGAGGUGCAGCCCUUCCACUCUUGGGGAACUCUGUAGAAUUCUCUCCAGGAUUCCCAGGCCGAUGGAAGAUGUGAUUCCAGAGUGUCCUUGGGGAGUCGUUGCUCUGAUGCCUCCCACAGUCCCCACCCUCUGGUGUCUGAGCAGGGGGCAGGGAGGCCUAGUCCCUGUUCCCUGGGAGCCCCUGGGGCUACUGUGGGAGUCAGCAACCGCACGCUCCUCUCGCACACCCAGCUGUAAUCAUCUCCUUGGUUGUCUGUCUCCUUCCCUGGAACACGCGUUCCUAAUGUGCAGGGACUCUGUGUUCCCUUUCUCUGGAUCCCCAGAAGGUUUGCUGACUGACCGAUGGACCAACUCAGUAAAUGAAUGGAUGACCUGGUCUGACGGUGGGAGCUGCAUUCAGACCUGCAGGGUGGCAAUGCCCCGCUCCUUUGGACAGCCUCAGAGCCCUCCCGCCCCCUCCUGAGAGUCCCUGAGUUUCUGAAGAGGAUUGCACACACUCUUGCAGUGUCUGACCACACUCACCAGAUCCGCAGUGACGAUCCAGUGUAACCAUGGCCGGCUCUUGCCUGGCCUGGCCUUCCACACUGUCUUGCCUCCUUGGACUGUUCUCUCCCAGAAGGAUUCGGCGUAUACCUCCACCUCUGUGCCAGGUCCCAUACAAGGCCAAAUAUUAGAUCAAAAACCUCCAGCUUGAAGGAAUGCAUUAUAUGGGUCAGGAAGAGAGAUGGGCAGACAGGUCUCAUCCCAGCUGUGUCGCCGGCGGUCGAUGUGAUGUCCACGAUGACGCUGCGGGCAGGACCUCAGCAUCCCAGUGGAACGGACCCCUGUCCUCCACUCCCAUCCCCUGCUGCCCCCAGGCUAAGGGAGAGCAUCCCGGACCCGGCGAGGGACGAAACGCAUUAGCUCUCUGCAAAAGUGGCUGAGAGAUCCUCCACCGUGAGUUUUGGGCCUCACCUCAUGGUGCGUGAGGGGCUUCCCUGGUGGCUCGGGCAGUAAAGAAUCCGCCUGCCCACGCAGAAGACACAGGCUGCAUCCCUGGGUCGGGAAGAUCCCUUGGAGGAAGGCAUGGCAACCCACUGCAGUAUUCUUACCUGGAGAAUCCCAUGGACAAGAGGAGCCUGGCGGGCUGCAGUCCAUGGGGUUGGGGGGUCGGACAGGACUGAGCGACGAGCACGCGUGCACAGCAUAUGAGAUCUUAGCGCUCCGACCAGGAAUCAGCCCCCACCCCCCGCGGUGGACCCCCAGGGGAGUCACGACCCGGGCUGUACUGGGGGUUCCCACCCUGAGCUGGUCUUUAGGGAAACAAGGUGGUGGGAAGGCCCGCCCACUGCCCUGGGACCCCCAUGAGGCCAGGCCUCGGGUCCACCAAGUAGUUGGCCUCGGACUGCGCGGGGCCCUGGCUGCCUGGGAGGUGUCUGGGCUCGUGGUGGGGUCUUGCCAGAGAGUUCUGAAAACAGGAAGGCCUGUGUGAUGAUCAGGGCCUAGUGCAAAGUGAGAGCGUGGGCCCCUCUCCAGAAGUUACUAAGAAUGUCAGGACGACGGGCACAGGACGUGAUUCCAGGCAAGGGCUCUGUGCACACUUCCCACGCUCCCCAAAAACCACUGUCUUCUUUUCUCGGGGCUCCUGGAACAAAGUCUCACAAGCCAGGUGGCUCUCAGUAACAGAUUCGUAUCGUCUCCCCAUCUGGAGGCUGGAUGUGUCGGGAGGGUCGGUCCCUUCCAGGGCUUUGGGGGAGUGUCUGUCCCAGGCCUUGUUCCCAGCUCCCGAGGUCUGGCUGGCAGUCUGUGGGUCCCCUUGGCUUGGAGCAGCAGCGCCCCGGUCUCUGCCUUCGCACGCUGUCCUCUCCCUGAGGAUUUAUGUGUCAGUGUCCCCUCUUGAGAGGACCCCCGGUCGUGUUGGGUUAGGGCCCACCCUAACGACCCCAUUCUAACUUGAUUACCUCUGUCAACACCCUGCUUUCAAAGACGAUCACGUUCUGAGAUACCGAGGGUCAGGACUUCAAAUAUUUGGGGGGAAGGUGCAAUUCUGCCGGUGGUCCUGGCCCGGCUGGAAGGCUGCCUCUAUUCCGGCUCAGCUGGCGGGGUUUACUGACUUGUCCGUGCCUGGCUCCCCCGGGGCAGGUGAAGAGGCCCUGGGUGAACCCCCUGUCCCCACGGAACCUCCUGGUGGGAGACAGGGUGGCCCUCAGGUCCUGGUGGCUGGCGGCCUCUGCUCAGCCUUGGGAGGGCUGGGGGAUCCGCCUUGGGGGGCAGAGACCCUGUGUAUCCCCCCGCUCUGUCUGUGGGGCCCAGUUGUCACGUGACGGCCACCAGGUCCCUGCCUGCUGUGGUGCCCUCCCUUCCCGUCCCGUGAGGGGGCUCUGGGGAGUGA